UUUUGUAUAAUGGGUCAGCGACUUAUAUUCUGUAGCAAGGUUAACCGAAUAGGGGAGCCGAAGGGAAACCGAGUCUUAACUGGGCGUUAAGUUGCAGGGUAUAGACCCGAAACCCGGUGAUCUAGCCAUGGGCAGGUUGAAGGUUGGGUAACACUAACUGGAGGACCGAACCGACUAAUGUUGAAAAAUUAGCGGAUGACUUGUGGCUGGGGGUGAAAGGCCAAUCAAACCGGGAGAUAGCUGGUUCUCCCCGAAAGCUAUUUAGGUAGCGCCUCGUGAAUUCAUCUCCGGGGGUAG
rnacentral:rRNA from 1 species